UUCACAAAAUAAACCCAGGGUUUUCAAACAGGAAUCCAUAGUAUCAAAACCAGUCUGACUUCUUGUGGUCUUUCCGAGUUCCCUGCAACAAAACAAUUGCUCUAUUGUUCUGUAGCCA